GUCUUGGUCGGAAACCAAGGCAGAAUAGGAG
ncrna:unclassified sequences L31-Coriobacteria ribosomal protein leader